AUGCGUGAUGUUGACACUUCCUCAAUAAAUAUUUGAACCUCUCCCUAGCAUCACAUACCGACUCAUCCUCCAACUGUUGAAAAGAAAUAAUCUCAUUCCGGAACUU